rnacentral:rRNA from 1 species
UACGUAGGGAGCAAGCGUUGUUCGGAUUUACUGGGCGUAAAGGGCGCGUAGGCGGCGCGGUAAGUCACUUGUGAAAUCUCUGAGCUUAACUCAGAACGGCCAAGUGAUACUGCAGUGCUAGAGUGCAGAAAGGGCAAUCGGAAUUCUUGGUGUAGCGGUGAAAUGCGUAGAUAUCAAGAGGAACACCUGAGGCGAAGGCGGGUUGCUAGGCUGACACUGACGCUGAGGCGCGAAAGCCAGGGGAGCAAAC